AGUCCCAUAUUCUAGAUGACCAUUAUUGCACCAAUACAACAUAUGCUUUAGAUGUAUACGUCUUAACUUCGUUUGCAGUGUGUCAGCACUUCGAAUAUAUUCUAUAUUAUCAUCCUGAGGAUACAAAGAACACAACAUGGAGAAGACGGAGAACAGUGUCCCAGGACUUAGUCACUGGGAGAGACAUGGACACAGGGGAGGGUGAUGGAGCUGUACUCAGCACUGGAUAUGGUGAAGGAGAGUAUGGAACACUGGCCAGGAAAGACGACUUUCUCCAUUCCUAUCCCUGUCAAAAUCCUGGACUUACAAACGCUGAGGCGGAGGGGUUCCAACCUUUCAAAGAUUUGUGCCCCAAGCGUCAUUUUUUUUUCUAUUUAAUUUUUCAUAUUUAA